CCUACGGGAGGCAGCAGUAGGGAAUAUUGCUCAAUGGGGGCAACCCUGAUGCAGCAACGCCGCGUGGAGGAUGAAGGUUUUCGGAUCGUAAACUCCUUUUGUUAGAGAAGAUAAUGACGGUAUCUAACGAAUAAGCACCGGCUAACUCCGUGCCAGCAGCCGCGGUAAUACGGAGGGCGCAAGCGUUACUCGGAUCCACUGGGCGUAAAGAGCGCGUAGGCGGGAUAGCAAGUCAGAUGUGAAAUCCUAUGGCUUAACCAUAGAACUGCAUUUGAAACUGUUAUUCUAGAGUAUGGGAGAGGUAGGUGGAAUUCUUGGUGUAGGGGUAAAAUCCGUAGAGAUCAAGAGGAAUACUCAUUGCGAAGGCGACCUGCUAGAACAUAACUGACGCUGAUGCGCGAAAGCGUGGGGAGCAAACAGGAUUAGAUACCCGGGUAGUC
rnacentral:rRNA from 1 species